GGAGUACUCCUUUCAUCCGAAAAUACUUGUUAUAGAAAUGAACGUAUCUAGAUGCAUUUUGUUUAUAGAUACGUCCACUUUCAUUUAUUUUUAUGAUAAAUAAUUUCGGAUGGAGGAAGUAUUUU
rfam:Hordeum vulgare subsp. vulgare, WGS project CAJW01000000 data, contig: morex_contig_2550237